rnacentral:rRNA from 1 species
UACGAAGGGGGCUAGCGUUGCUCGGAAUCACUGGGCGUAAAGCGCACGUAGGCGGAUUGCUAAGUCAGGGGUGAAAUCCUGGAGCUCAACUCCAGAACUGCCCCUUGAUACUGGCGGUCUCGAGUCCGGGAGAGGUGAGUGGAACUGCGAGUGUAGAGGUGAAAUUCGUAGAUAUUCGCAAGAACACCAGUGGCGAAGGCGGCUCACUGGCCCGGUACUGACGCUGAGGUGCGAAAGCGUGGGGAGCAAACAGG